UACGGAGGGAGCUAGCGUUGUUCGGAAUUACUGGGCGUAAGCGCGCGUAGGCGGCUUUGUAAGUUAGAGGUGAAAGCCCGGAGCUCAACUCCGGAACUGCCUUUAAGACUGCAUCGCUUGAAUCCAGGAGAGGUGAGUGGAAUUCCGAGUGUAGAGGUGAAAUUCGUAGAUAUUCGGAAGAACACCAGUGGCGAAGGCGGCUCACUGGACUGGUAUUGACGCUGAGGUGCGAAAGCGUGGGGAGCAAACAGG
rnacentral:rRNA from 1 species